GCUCGUGUCGUGAGAUGUUGGGUUAAGUCCCGCAACGAGCGCAACCCCUAUCUUUAGUUGCUACCAUUUAGUUGGGCACUCUAAAGAGACCGCCGGUGAUAAGCCGGAGGAAGGUGGGGAUGACGUCAAGUCCUCAUGGCCCUUACGGGUAGGGCUACACACGUGCUACAAUGGCGCAUACAGAGUGCUGCGAACCUGCGAAGGUAAGCGAAUCACUUAAAGUGCGUCGUAGUCCGGAUUGGAGUCUGCAACUCGAC
rnacentral:rRNA from 1 species